rnacentral:pre_miRNA from 1 species
CAAGGGCGGAGGUAUUGGCGCGCCUCAAUCCGAAGGCGUGGCUGAUAGAUUGGCGCGGCAGCCAUGUUCUUGGAUUGAGCCGCGUCAAUAUCUCCCGUUGCCUG